ACACUGAAUGUGAAGUGCUUCAACUCUUUUCCCCAAAGCUCACUUCGUAGAUUUACGCAUGAUCUUCGUCACGUCAUAUAAGCCCCACAGUAAUUACACAAAGGAACAUAAACACGGCACGUCUUCAUCUGAAUUUAGCAGCUGCACUUAAAGUUCUAUUUCGGCUUCCCAAUAAGGCACAUACAAUACACAUACUGCCUGAGUAACAGCUGUAUUAAAUACUGUACCAGAAUCUCAUAAAUAAGACAUUAAGUAACAGUUUCGAACCUAAAUCAGGCUUAAAAGGGGUGAAAUCAGCUGUUUCCAUUUUUUGUUUUAAUUAACUGAUUUAUUAGCGACAUCCAGUAUGUGUCUCCCUCUAGCGGCACAGAGGAGCGGACCAAAGAGGUGGUGCGGUCAUGUUUAUUGUUCUCCUGUCUCUUUGCUAGUUUUCUGUAUUUUGCCCCAUGCCAUUUUUAUUUAAGUAUGUUUUCGUUUUAUGCUAACUAUAUAUUCAAGUCUGAAGCACAGAAGGCAGAGGUGCCGUCAGGAGACAGGCAGAGGUGCGGUUGAGUGUCUCAGUGUGAGCACCGCUGAGAGUUGUGGGGGGAUGAAAAGUCAAAACGCGCUCAGAGCAGACAGGAGCGGCGGAACGGAGGAGUGCAGGGAGGACGGAUCAGACACCGGCCGGCGUGAGAACUGCGGCAAUCAGGCACAUAGACAGAGACAGAGCUGCAGGAAAGACGGCUCUUCUCGCUCUCGGCCCCACUGAGGCGCUUAGUGAAAGGUUUUGGCCGCUGCUGAGCCCCUGAAGGCACCAUGGUUGUGUCGCUGCGGAGCUGGGUCGCCAACGAAGGAGGGAAGCACUUUGUCCUGAUGCUGUGGCUGGGAGUCAACACCUGGCUGUUCCUAAACACCUUCCUGCUGUACUUCAAUGGGCGGCAGUAUCACUACCUCUACAAGAUGCUUGGACUGGGGUUGUGCAUCAGCAGGGCGUCUGCAUCUCUGCUGAACCUGAACUGCAGCUUGGUGUUGUUACCCAUGUGUCGCUCCUUGCUCACCUUUGUACGAGGCUCACACGCGGUAUCAAGCAGAAAGACACGUCGGCUGCUGGACAAGAGCAAGACCUUUCAUGUGGCCUGUGGCGUUGCCAUCUGCAUCUUCUCUGUUGUGCACGUGUCGGCCCACCUGGUGAAUGUCGUCAACUUCAGUGUGAGCUACUCAGAUGACUUCCCUGCUCUCAAUUUGGCCCGCUACAGAGGAGAGGACCCCAGUCUGAUCCUUUUAACCACAAUUCCCGGAGUCACUGGUGUGCUGUUGGUCCUCAUCCUCUUCCUGAUGUUCAUGUCCUCCUCCUACUGCGUACGGGUCUCCAACUAUGAGAUCUUUUGGUACACACACAACCUCUUCAUUGUCUUCUAUAUCAUCCUUAUGGUGCACAUGGUUGGUGGAGCUCUGAAGUACCAGACCAACAUAGAGGCCCACCCCCCCGGCUGCCUCCAAGCCAAUCGGAGCAGCACAGAGCAGCAGGUCGAGGAUCUGGAGCAGGGUGAAGAUGAGGAGAGCAGAUGCAGAGAGGACGCUCACUUCCAGCCACACUACCCCCAGACGUGGCUUUGGGUGUCUGGUCCUCUCUGUCUCUACUGUAUGGAGCGCUUUUACCGCUACAUCCGGAGCAGUGAUCCUGUUACCAUAGUGACAGUUAUCAGGCAUCCCUGUAAUGUCAUUGAGUUGCGCAUGCUGAAGAAAAACUUCAAAGCUCGACCCGGACAGUAUAUUGUUCUCAACUGUCCAGGUGUCUCUUCAUUUGAGAACCAUCCUUUCACGCUAACAAUGUGUCCCACAGCGAACAAGGAAACUUUUGGCGUCCAUCUGCGCAUCGUGGGAGACUGGACUGAACGGUUCACAAAGCUGCUACUUCCUCAGCCAAGGCUAGAUGUGGAGAUCCUUCCCAUGGUGCACCAGAGAAGAUAUCCCAAGCUUUACGUUGAUGGUCCAUUUGGAAGUCCAUCACAGGAGGUGUUUAACUACGACGUCAGUCUUUGUGUUGCUGGUGGAAUAGGAGUCACACCGUUCGCCUGCGUGCUGCAUGCUCUGCUUGACGGCUGGACAGGUUUCAGGUUGCAGAGGUUGUAUUUUGUGUGGGUCUGCCGGGAGCUCCAGUCCUUCUAUUGGUUUGCAGAGCUGCUGUGUGCUCUGCAUCACAAGCUUUGGCAGGAAAACAGACCGGACUACUUUAAUCUGAAACUGUAUCUCAGCCACACAGACAGUCUGCAGAGCAUGACCGAAGAGAAGUAUCGGCCGCUCGUAUCAAGGCUGCUGUUCGGCCGACCCAGGUGGAAACCACUUCUGGAUGAGAUAGGAAAAAACAAUGAACAUAAGCGAGUGGGGGUUUUCUGUUGUGGACCGAAGGGCAUCUCCAGGACUCUCCACAGACUGUGUAACUCAGCUCGAUCGUCUGGAACAACAUUUGAAUUCAACAAGGAGUCGUUCAGCUGAUGAACAUCAGAGCUGGUUCUACACAACAAGGUCAACACCAGUGAAAACAACAAAUGUUGCUGAGCUCCAACUGAGGGAUUUUAAAGCUUCAGCAUUUGAAACGAUCACCACGUGAAGACAGUCUGAAGAAACCAACUCCCUGCUUGGAGUCUCCACUCAAGAUGUCUGUUUUCCUCAAGCUGCUGUUUCAUAGUUUCCCUGAUGCACCCCUCUGUGGAGUAAAUUAGUUUUCUCAUGUUGGAGUCUAAUAUGAGAAAAGGGUCUGACUCAACCUGCAAUCCCAGAAACAGACACGAUAAAAUGACAUUACACAGGAAUUAAUUGGCCUUUCAGGAGACCCUGACUGAAACAGCACUCAGGAACGAGACAAGCCUUUUUCAUACAAACAUUUAAGAUGUGGUGGACUGAAAAACACAGAGAGUUGGAAAAUCCAAUCCAGUGCGAUAAAGCAGUGUCAUUUCAUUGUGAGUCAAAUUUAUUUAACCUUUGCUUGAUCGCAGACCGAUACCAAACAAAGUCUACCAACCAAGAGUUUACAGAACCAGCCAUGUGCUCAGUGCUAUAAAUAAGGAUAAACUUCUGUCCAACAUAUCCAUAUUAAAUGAGUAUUAAUAUGAAUCUCCAGCUCACAUAGUCCUAGCUAACCUCGCUUAAACUGUGUGACAAAGUUUGAUUGGCUUAUUUGAUUUGACCGAAUAUUUUAUUAGUUUACAAGACAGUCAGAAGCAUGAGUGAAACCAAAAGUGGACAUAAAAUGCACAUUUGUUACAGUCUUUGUUUUCAUUUUGUUCAUAUUUGUGUGACAAGCUCAAUGAAAACGUACACUACAUUUGCCUCAAAUCAGUAUUUUGAAUUCGUGUUUUUUUAAUUUAUAUCGUUUAAAUUUAUUUUACAUGUGUUAUAUUUCAAACCUCGGCAGGGCAUUGGCAAUGUGUCAGUAUUUUUUAUAUAUAUCUCCACUGAGUAAAUUUACUGAUGAAUAAAUAGGAUACUGGUGAUAUUCCAGUUUAAAACAAUUAGUUUGAAGCUACUUUUUUGUAGUUUUUAAAAAUCUUGUUUUUGUAUUAUGCCAUAACCAUGUCCAGGAAAUGAUAUCUGAUUGAUACAAAUGACAUCAACAUUUCUAAAAUUGUAAUUGUAAUAAGAAAUUUAUGAAAUAAGUCAUAAAUUGUGUGCCUGUUUUCGGGAUUGUGUUCUUUUUCUUUUUUAAGAAAAAGGCUAAUUACGGAGUAAAAUAUUUUCUAUUUAUUUUAUUGUGAUUAGACUGUUUCUGAUUCAAGUAAUAUUUACAUUUUAUAUCAAAUAUAUGA